CAAUAGCGUAUAUUAAAGUUGUUGCAGUUAAAAAGCUCGUAGUUGGAUCUGUGGUGUGCGGUGGGCUCCGGGCACUUGUUGUCUGAGUAGCUCGCCGCUGCCAUCCUUGGGUGGAACCUGUGUGGCAUUAGGUUGUCGUGCAGGGGAUGCCCAUCGUUUACUGUGAAAAAAUUAGAGUGUUCAAAGCAGGCUUAUGCCGUUGAAUAUAUUAGCAUGGAAUAAUGAGAUAGGACUUUUUCGCUAUUUUGUUGGUUUGCGCGAAGAGGUAAUGAUUAAUAGGGACAGUUGGGGGUAUUCGUAUUCCAUUGCCAGAGGUGAAAUUCUUGGAUUUUUGGAAGACGAACUACUGCGAAAGCAUUUACCAAGGAUGUUUUCAUUAA
rnacentral:rRNA from 1 species